rnacentral:lncRNA from 1 species
AUGGCCUUGUGUAGACAUUCUUUGGACGUCUGCCUGAGAUCUGUCCUUGACUGUCAAGAAUGCCCUGCAGUAGAAGUGCUAUUUUCCUCAUGUUAGAUACUGAGGAAAGUGAAGCUUCGAGACACUCCCUAAUGUGCCCAAGAUGGAGAAGCUUGGAAGUGUUGUGAUAAUUUGUCCAAGGACACACAGCUGGGCACAGUGGCAUACUUGAACACUAUGUUAUCCUGCUUCUGUAAUGUCUGAAAUGGGAAAGAGUCUCAUUCACCUUUUGAUGAUGUCAACUCCAAGUAUUGCAAGGAUGACACUUUGAUGAUACUCUGGUUUUUACAAUUCUGAGCUUUUAACUCAAGAUAUCACCAGUUUUGGCUACCACAUCUCAGGAAGGACAUAACAGCACUGAGGAAAGUACAGGAGAAAGAACUGACAAAGGAAAGACUGGAGUCUCCAAGUGAGGACAUACUCAGAGGAUCAGAACCAAGUUUGGCAGUAAAAGUGUUAAAAGACAUGGUGAACAGAAGGAUAUGGCUGAAGUCUGGAAGUGAACAGUGAAAAUUAUCUGAAGAUGUUAGUAUUCAUCUCCAAUCUCCAGAUAACUAGAUGGACAUAAAAUCUUCACAUGGCGAAUAGAAUAGAGCCUGCACAUAGUUUUGGCUUGGAAGAAAUUAAAUCACACAGAUGUGCUUACUAAAAUUCACACCCCAGCCUGAGAAAGCUUCAGAACUGCACAGAAAAUGGAGAUCUAGCGCUCAGAUUGGUGGGGCUAGAAGUCCAGGGAAGGUACUUGUUCUUAGGGUGGCAGAGUAGUUAUGGGAUAGUGUUUCUCAAACUGUAAUAUGCUUCGCCUGGGAGAUAUGUGAUUCCUCUGGAGAU